rnacentral:rRNA from 1 species
AUUGAACGCUGGCGGCAAGCCUAACACAUGCAAGUCGCACGAGUGGCGGACGGGUGAGUAAUGUCUGGGAAACUGCCUGAUGGAGGGGGAUAACUACUGGAAACGGUAGCUAAUACCGCAUCCCAUCGGAUGUGCCCAGAUGGGAUUCGCUAGUAGGUGGGGUAAAGGCUCACCUAGGCGACGAUCCCUAGCUGGUCUGAGAGGAUGACCGCCCACACUGGAACUGAGACACGGUCCAGACUCCGACGGGAGGCAUCAGUGGGGAAUAUUUCACAAUGGGCGCAAGCCUGAUGCAGCCAUGCCGCGUGUAUGAAGAAGGCCUUCGUGUUGUAAAGUACUUUCAGCGGGGAGGCGUUACCCGCAGAAGAAGCACCGGCUAACUCCGUGCCAGCAGCCGCGGUAAUAC